rnacentral:rRNA from 1 species
GACGUAGGGCGCGAGCGUUGUCCGGAUUUAUUGGGCGUAAAGAGCUCGUAGGCGGCUUGUCGCGUCGACCGUGAAAACUCUAGGCUCAACCUAGAGACGCCACCUGAUACUGCCGUGGCUAGAGUCCGGUAGGGGAGCAUGGAAUUCCUGGUGUAGCGGUGAAAUGCGCAGAUAUCAGGAGGAACACCAGUGGCGAAGGCGGUGCUCUGGGCCGGAACUGACGCUGAGGAGCGAAAGCGUGGGGAGCAAACAGG